rnacentral:rRNA from 1 species
AUUACGCCAAGCUUGGUACCGAGCUCGGAUCCACUAGUAACGGCCGCCAGUGUGCUGGAAUUCGGCUUAUUACCGCGGCUGCUGGCACGGAGUUAGCCGGUGCUUAUUCAUACGGUACAUUCAGUCAACUACACGUAGCUGAGUUUAUUCCCGUGUAAAAGCAGUUUACAACUCGUAGAGCCGUCUUCCUGCACGCGGCGUGGCUGGGUCAGAGUUGCCUCCAUUGCCCAAUAUUCCUCACUGCUGCCUCCCGUAAGCCGAAUUCUGCAGAUAUCCAUCACACUGGCGGCCGCUCGAGCAUGCAUCUAGAGGGCCCAAUUCGCCCUAUAGUGAGUCGUAUUACAAUUCACUGGCCGUCGUUUUUACAACGUCA